CCCCUAUAGGAGGUUAUCAGAGACCCCAAACACAGCCAGAAGAGGAAGAGGAAGUUGAGGUGGAGGAGGCAGAGGAGCUAGGUCAUGUCGACACCUAUGCAGACUACAAGCCCUCUAAAUCCAAGAUAGGGAA